rnacentral:rRNA from 1 species
UACGAACCUCUCGAACGUUAUUCGGAUUUACUGGGCUUAAAGGGUUUGUAGGCGGCCCUGUAAGUCAGGUGUGAAAUCCCUCGGCUCAACCGAGGAACGGCGCUUGAUACUGCAUGGCUUGAGGGAGACAGGGGUAAGCGGAACUGAUGGUGGAGCGGUGAAAUGCGUUGAUAUCAUCAGGAACACCGGUGGCGAAAGCGGCUUACUGGGUAGCUUCUGACGCUGAGGAACGAAAGCUAGGGUAGCAAACGGG